GAGUUUGAUCCUGGCUCAGAACGAACGCUGGCGGCGCGCCUAACACAGCAAGUCGAGCGAGAGGCCGGGGCAACCCGGUAGUACAGCGGCAAACGGGUGAGUAACACGUGGGUGACCUACCCUGGAGUGGAGAAUAACCCGCCGAAAGGCGGGCUAAUGCUGCGUACGCUGCCGGAUCUGCGGGUCCGGCAGGAAAGCCGUACCGAGGGUACGGCGCUCCAGGAUGGGCUCACGGCCUAUCAGCUAGUUGGUAGGGUAACGGCCUACCAAGGCAACGACGGGUAGCUGGUCUGAGAGGACGAUCAGCCACACUGGCACUGCGACACGGGCCAGACUCCUACGGGAGGCAGCAGUGAGGAAUAUUGGGCAAUGGGCGAAAGCCUGACCCAGCGACGCCGCGUGGAGGAUGAAGGCUCUAGGGCUGUAAACUCCUUUUCCAAGGGAAGAGUACUCGGCUUCGAAUAGGAGACCGAGGGUGACGGUACCCCCAGAGGAAGCACCGGCUAACUCCGUGCCAGCAGCCGCGGUAAUAC
rnacentral:rRNA from 1 species